UUGCAGUGAUGAUAACUUUAUGAUUACAGUGAAAGUGUUUUAAAAACGCUUAAUGAACGGUCGACAAAAUGUCGAACCUGAGCGGUUAGCUGAGCAA
rfam:Brassica napus, WGS project CCCW01000000 data, contig: 1649